GUUUACACCGAGAAUGUCUACGGUUCGAAUCCGUAUAGCCCUA
rnacentral:tRNA from 1 species